AUAAUGAUACUCCCGUACAGCCACAGUCCGAGCGUUAGAAGCGUCGCACACAAUGGGUACGGCUGUAUGAGAACCAUACAGGGCUGAAAUGCUGUGG
rfam:Blautia sp. YL58, complete genome.